CUUCGUCUAUGUGACAACGUCCUAUUAAGUCAUGCAUGCCUAGACACAUAUGACACCAUCUAUACACCGCUCCACUAAUGCUUCAAAUAUUUGUGGAGUAAAUGAGGGUUUUAGCCAACUCUGAUCUGCUUAUAGGGGAAGCGAUAAAUUACUCAAAUGCAAAGUUUUAUUGACCGCCUGGCCUUACCUUAGCUCAACCUUUAAAAGCUGAAAAGCUAGGUUGGAGUGAGAAGGUGAAAAAAAGAACCCCAAAAGGCAAAGCUAGGUUCGACAAAACCAUUUGAGUACACUAUGCACCUUGUAUUAGGAAUCCUCAAGAGGUGAAUGAGUUGUGAAGACCAAUCUAAAGAAAUUUUUCAAGUUCGCAACAAGGGGCCAAGGAGAGUCCAGUUUGUGGAAACAUAUAGUGAAGUCAUACACUUGGGCUAUUCGAAAGAUCAAUCAGCCUAAUUCAGGGGGCAGUAUGGUUAUGAAAAAAAUCAAAAGAGCAAGAGGAGAAGAAAAGCAAUGCCAACCUCACAAGCAACUCUUCCAAAGCCAAACUCAAACAUUUCUGAACUUGAACUUCUCACUAAUCUCGAACACUGAAUGUUUAGAGGAGACGAAGUGAGUAAAGAGACGCUUCGCGUCUUUGUAUUCAAAAGCUCAAGGGGCAAAAAGCCACCAUGCACCUUAGUCUUUCAAUGUUUGGAGGAUCUUUCCAAUCAUUAAUAAGGGAAGGUUCACAUAAACAAAACAAAAAUGGAAGAUCAAGGUUCAGUGAAAGGCAAAAUUUUCAAAAAGGCUCAAAAAUGGUUAAAAGGGAACAACGACAUAGCUCAAGUCAAUUACACAUCCGCCAAGGAGAAAAUAGAGCAAGAUGUCAACCAUCUGUUUGCAAAGGAAUUCCAUUGACAUUGUUCAACUAGCAGGGACUCACAUCUUUACUAAGGUCUUUGCUAAUGAGCUCACGAGUUCUCAAACUCCAAAGGGAAGCACAUUGCGCCUUGUGUCAAUGCGAAGUUCGUUAAAAAAUUAUUAACGGUCCAUGGCAUUGGAAGCCCGAAAGAGCAAGAUGAAAAAAUGUUUCUUGGGCCAAAAACUCAAAAAGGCUGCCCAAACAAAGAACUACGGUUGACUUGAUCCCUCAAAAAGGAUAUGUAGGCAAAAUUUAGUCCUGAAAGCUAGAUGCAAUCGCAAAUCUCAAAUGUCUCUUUCUUUACCUCAAAUAAAAGAGACAUAGGCAAGCAAGCCCAAAAUCUAGCUCUAGCCAUAAAUUUUCCACCAAUAGUGUUAGCACGUAGUAAAACUGCUGUAUACUACACAAGAACUCCAAUUCACAUGAGUAUAAACUGUUUGUCAUAAAAUAAUAAUAAUAAAAAAAAGCUCGUUGGGCUGAAAACCCAAAAGGGCGGUUCAAGUAGAAGUUAGACCUAAAAAAAAAAAAAGUGCUCGUUGGACUGAAAACCCAAAAGCGCAGUUCAAGCAAAAGUUAGAGCUUAAAAAAAAUGAUAUGUGGGCUAAAAACCGAAAGGGAAGCCCAAGCAAAAGAACUACAGUGGAGUUGAUCCCCCAAAAGGGGCAUGUAGGCAAUUUACUCCCUAAAAAGCUAGAUUCAGUCACAAGACCCAAAAUCCUCCUCAUUACCUCAAUUCAAGGAGGGUGAACUACGUUCGGCUUGAUCCUUUUACAAGAUACGUAGGCAAUCUAGCCUAAAAGCUCAAUGCAGCCGUAAAAUAUCACCCAAUGAUGAGCACGUGGUUAAACUGCUACACAAGAACUCCUUUCCCACACGAGUAUAUACUGUGAACAGUAGAAGCGAAAAAGCAGAAGAAAAUGCAACUGGUGUCUAGAGAGGAAAGUUAUCAAGCCUUGCAUGCGAAAAGUUGUUUCACGCACAAUGCUUGGGGGGCAACUGUUGAACAAAAAAAAUUCAAGAAAAAAAAAUACUUGCCAGGUUGUAUUGGUCAACUCCCUCCAACAAACCUUAUCUAAUCUAAGUUGAUAAGUGCACAAACAAAACAAACUUGCUGAUCAGAUAAAGGAAGGAAAAUCAAAAAAAAAAAAAGGGAGGAGAGUUUGACCAAUAGUGGACACUCUCAUAAGAGAUUAGUAGUUUCAUUUUUUGAGGCUUAGCUUAUCAUCAUGUUUUCAAAUUAAAACAUUCGAUCAUGGGUGAUAAACAUAGAGACAGCAAGAAAAGAAGAGAAAGGGGGAGGCAGUCGUGAGGUUGCAGAUACAAAAAUAAAAGAGGAGGCUUCAAAGAGAAAUAAAAAGCUUGCAAGGCCACAAAGCAAGAUGAGCAUAGCCAUGCUGGAGAAAAAUGACAGAGGCAAUCAAGGCUCUUCUCUUGAAGUCCCCCGUGCUUGGGUAUGAAACCCGCAAACCAAAUUACAUGGAUUAUCAAUCCAUCAUGGGUGGCAACCCUUUAAUCAAUCAAAUGGAUGGCAAUCCAUACGGGGUGGCAACCCUUGAAUCAAAUUUCUUAGAUGCAAAUCCAUGGGUGAGCAACCCGAAAAAUCAUUAGAUAUGAAACCCAUUAUUGAGUGAGAAACCCCGAAAUCAUUUGGAUGUAAAUCUAUGGGUGAGUAACCCCGAAACCAUUUGGAUGCAAAUACAUGGGUGAGUAACCCGAAAAAUCAUUGGAUAUGAAAUUCUUGGGUGAGUAACGCCGAAACCAUCUGGAUGCAAAUCCAUGGGUAAGCAAACCAAAAAAUCAUUGGAUAUGAAAUCGAUUAUUGGGGGAGAAACCCUAAAAUUUAUUUGGAUGAGAAAUCCUUAUGGUUGAGAAACCCCAAAAUUUAUAAAUCCAUUUCGGAAGGAAAAUCGAUAAACUCUAUGGAGGAUCAAUCCAUUUCGGAGUCAAACCCAUCACCAACAACAAUCAAUUGAUGACAUUCUUGCUGCCAACAAAUAAGAAAGGAUCACAUUUUCUUUUCUUGGGCCGGGAAAGUACCAGCCAAAGAGAAGUAAAGGCAGCAACAACAAAAAAUGAAUGGAGGCCUUAGCACAAAAAAGGCCCUGUUGCUCUGAGAAGACAAACAACAAGAAAAUGAGCAAAGAAUCUAUGUUAAGGCUCUUGUUUGAACACACUGCACCUAAAUUUUUAAGGCCACAUGGCCUUGAAGAUUCUCUUCUCUCCAUGAAACCUAA
rnacentral:lncRNA from 1 species